ensembl:lncRNA
CUGUUAUCUGAGAGUUUUCUGGGAUAUAUAUAUAUAUAUUUUAAUUCUAUUUAAUAUACUCUUUAAAAUGUGCUGAACGUCAAUUGCUGGUUUUUCAAGAGCAAUUAUAGUCAUUGCUCUGGAUGAUAAGGAUAUGAGAAUGGAGAAGUGGAUCAGCAAUGUGCAGGGGUGAGGGAGGAAAUAAGUCUCACAUUUCAAAUUAGGUAGAAUUACAAAAAGCAAGGCAGGCGUACUGGUAGUUUUCUGUCUGAUUUAUCUCUAAGUUGAAAUAUAUUCAGUUGCUUUUAUACAUUAUUUGCAACUAAUUUUGUUGAGUCUACAAUAAUAAGAAGGACCUCUGUGAUUCUUUAAUAUCUGUUUUAGGAACCCUAGGCAGAAGACCCAUAUGGACAGUCAUCAGCCUCUGCUAAAACAUUUUGAGUAAUGAGAGAUUUGUGAACCCUGGCUAGGCAAGGUCAGAGCCCUCCUCAUCAGCCUGAAGCGGCCAUAGCAAGAUGGACUUUGAGCCCCUCUGCAUCUCUUAAGACUAAGCAAAGUCUGGAGAUGGGGGCAGGUGAGGAACGAUAAAAAUGGCUUCAUGAUUAAAGAUGUCUUGGAAUACAAAGGAGCCUUGGGGACAGAGAUUAUGUACAGUAAAGCAACAAAAUAGAAGGAAGCUCGAUAAUUGCACUGAAGAGCAUAUACAAGUCCACACUCACUUCCUUCCAGACGAUCAAACAGAAAAGGAAUAUUUGAUGUGUUGAAGUCACUUUUGGGGAUUGCAGGGAGGUACUUUCUAUGACUUGCAGUUAAGCCAAAUCUUAAUUAAUUAAGAUGGUAUUUCUUAAAUUUGAAGAGAAGAUUCUAAGAGUAUAAAUUUUGUUGCAGGGAAUUUUGAAAAAGAUGUGUUCCACUCUGCUAGGACUACGAAAUUUCUUACCUGUUCGUUCAAGUAAAAGUGUGGAAGAGUUGGGAGACGGAUACUGAUCCUAUGUGGAUAAAGAUGGCUGUGGAUGUUUCCACUUCAGACCUUUGAUCCCAAUGUCUCCUUCUGAAUGUCCUCAACUCCUUCAACUUGCCUCUGGAUGACUGGUGCCUACUCAUCCUUCUGCAUUCAGCUCAAGGGUCAGCAUCUCCAAGAAAACUUGCCCUUCACCUCUCUCCAACCUUAUGGUGGCUUUAGCAUCCAAAAUACCCAGCUCUCAUCUCCAUCACUAUACUUAACCCUACAUGAACAUUCCAGAACUCUGAGGAAUCCCCAAAUAGAUGAGAAUUGCUGCCAAGAAGCUUGGAGUUGAACAAGAUGUUUCACUACAGUAUAUAGCAAAUUUCCUUACAAAUUUUGAGGUGAUCUAAUCUUGGGAGAAGAGAAAAGGAAGGCAAGUAGCAACUUUUAUAAAAGUUAAGUAGUAUCAUUUUUUUUGGUACGGGGGAUCGAACUUGGGACCUUGUGCUUGCAAGGCAGGCGCCGGAACCACUGAGCUAAAUCCCCUGCCCUAGUAUAAUUUUUUUUUAAAAAGCAAGCAAAGCAAUAUUUUACUGGAUAGAAGUUUGUAUAAUUUCUGAUUUUAGGUGAAUUCUGCUCCAUAUAGAAAGCAAGGCAAUUGAGCCUAUAAUAUUAGGUUCCUUUUCUUUGAGAAGGCCUGAGGGAGAAAGAAGCCAAUGAGAAAAGUUCUUGCCUUUGACACAGUGAUUCUUGUAGGCUGAGUGAACAAGUACACACCUUAAGCUCAUGGGCAGGAAAAGUGAAGGAAUGUUCUAAGAGCUAAACAUCAGUUUCUGAGAAUAAAUAUGGUUGACUCAUUCUUAUAUUUUGGAUGAAGUCUUGGAAACAAACCAAAUUCUUUUGACUUUCUCUAAUCCUUUGCUUGGAACCUGCCCAGAACCACGUAAGAGAAUGACUAAUCUGCAUCUGGUAGACACAUAGACUAUGAGAAACCUGCUUGGACUAAGAUGGAACCCUAAUGUGACUUGUAUGAACCGUGACUUAGAAAAUAGAGCAUUGGUUUGGAAAACAGUCCAGUAGUUCCUCCAGGGGUGAAACACUGUUGCCGUUCAACCUACCAAUUGGACACCUAGGGACCUGCCUUCUUUUUGUCCACUUCACCUGACAACUUUCAUUAGUCCAGUAAAUGAAUUAAAGAAGAGAAAUAAAUUGUUUCAUGUUCUUAAAGCAAGGGUCAUCCAGAAUCUACUAAUUAUACUGAACUCUGUUUUUUGUCUCUGCUUCUUCUUUUACACUUACAUAUCUAUUUUUACAAGUAUAUUAAUAAAUACCACUUUUGUACUAAAAUAACAUUUUAUCUGAUUAAGAAUAAUAUCUAGUGUUGAUUAGUAAAAAUACAGGAAAAAUUCAUAAACCUAGUAUCCAAAAUGAACCACUGUUAAUAUUUUGUUACUUUAUUCUUUUGCUCAGGGUGUAUUUGCAUAGAUCUACA